GACGAACGCUGGCGGCGCGCCUAACACAUGCAAGUCGAGCGAGAACCAGGGCUUCGGCCCUGGGGACAGCGGCGAACGGGUGAGUAACACGUGAGCAAUCCACCCUCGGCACCGGGAUAGCCCGGGGAAACCCGGAUUAAUACCGGAUGGCCCGCCCGCCUCCCGAGGCGGUCGGGAAAGGUAGCUUCGGCCUCCGGCCGAGGACGAGCUCGCGGCGGAUUAGCUUGGUGGUGAGGUAACGGCUCACCAAGGCGACGAUCCGUAGCUGGUCUGAGAGGACGAUCAGCCACACUGGGACUGAGACACGGCCCAGACUCCUACGGGAGGCAGCAGUGGGGAAUCUUGCGCAAUGGGCGAAAGCCUGACGCAGCGACGCCGCGUGCGGGAAGAAGGCCUUCGGGUUGUAAACCGCUUUCAGGAGGGACGAAGCCACUCGGGUUAACAGCCCAGAGGGUGACGGUACCUCCAGAAGAAGCCCCGGCUAACUACGUGCCAGCCGCCGCCGUAAAAC
rnacentral:rRNA from 1 species